UUGAAAUGCAUAAUAAUAGUUCAGAACUCUCGACCAUUAAUUAUUAAUAUUAUAAGGAAAACCAAAGCUAUAUUACACAAACACCACCAAACCCUUAACUCAACACCACCAAACUUGGAUACCAGUACACAAAUACAUUGAAUUAACUCAACACCACCAAACUAGAACACAAAUACACUGAGCCGACACUUUAGUCCUAUUUUUCUUUUAAAAAGGCAUCAAUGAAAGUCACUUAUAUUGCUCAAAAUAUAUCAAAAAAUUAUUAU
rnacentral:lncRNA from 1 species